rnacentral:rRNA from 1 species
AUUGAACGCUGGCGGCAGGCCUAACACAUGCAAGUCGAGCGGCAGCGGGAAAGUAGCUUGCUACUUUUGCCGGCGAGCGGCGGACGGGUGAGUAAUGCCUGGGAAAUUGCCCAGUCGAGGGGGAUAACAGUUGGAAACGACUGCUAAUACCGCAUACGCCCUACGGGGGAAAGCAGGGGACCUUCGGGCCUUGCGCGAUUGGAUAUGCCCAGGUGGGAUUAGCUAGUUGGUGAGGUAAUGGCUCACCAAGGCGACGAUCCCUAGCUGGUCUGAGAGGAUGAUCAGCCACACUGGAACUGAGACACGGUCCAGACUCCUACGUGAGGCAGCAGUGUGGAAUAUUGCACAAUGGGGGAAACCCUGAUGCAGCCAUGCCGCGUGUGUGAAGAAGGCCUUCGGGUUGUAAAGCACUUGCAGCGAGGAGGAAAGGUUGAUGCCUAAUACGUAUCAACUGUGACGUUACUCGCAGAAGAAGCACCGGCUAACUCCGUGCCAGCAGCCGCCGUAA